rnacentral:lncRNA from 1 species
UUUGUCAUUAGAGGUUUGAUUUAUUUUGUUCCCUUGCAGCCCCUAUUUGUGAUUGAACCGUAGAGCAGGCAAAGUAUUCGAGUAGGCGGACGACAAUCUGCAGAUUGUGUUAGUUGAAAAGUGUGAGGCUUAUCCCAACCCCUGGUAGAGGAAGUGUAGGAAGAUUUUGUUUUGAAUUGGGAUGAUACACAGUUGAGAAGAAUUACUAGCUUAUAAUGAGUUUGUUUCCACCCCUCUUAUUUUUCACUUCUAGAUGANCUCUAUAAACUUUGCAAGACUACUCCAUACUGAGGAACAUGAAGAUAAUGAGCCAUACAUUCAAGCGUCAGAAGCUCAGAUGGUUUUUUAUGUGGAUGAUGAGAAUGAACAAGGAUGGAGCAUACCUGUUCAUUUGAAGCCAAGAGAGUUGUAUGACAUGGGUGGAAAUGAUGAAAUUAUGACACCCAUUGAGCCAUACCCAUCACAAAAUUUGGAACAAUUUUUUUCUAAUGAUGAUCCUGGAGCUUCAGUGGCGAAUGAUAACAAUAAUUAAUAUAUAGUUUUUUACUGAUAAGAAGUCUAGCUUGUUUGUAACUCAUGUGAAACUUAUAUUUUUUUGUUUCUUAUCCCUAAUUAAUGUAUGACAUUCUUACUUUUUAUGUUUAUUCAUCGUUAUAGAAAUGAAAUACCAACAGAUGGCAUUGUUACUCUAUGUUUUAUUGCAUAAUUUAUCUUUUAAUUUAUUGUGUUUAUGUUAUGUUUAUUAAAUUUGUAGUCAUAAUUUAUGUUACUCUUUACUCUUGCUGCGUUAUUUCGAUACAUAAUAUAUUCUUGUUGAAAUAAACAACUACUUCUUCAAGGAUAAAUCAUGAUUGCUCCAUAUUUUCAAUACAAAAUAUAUUCUUGCUUUGAAAUUGGAGUACUAUUCAUUCUGCAUACACAGGACUUGCUUGUCCAUCGUGUAACUUUGGAACUACUUCUCUCCGUCUUAAAGCUAGCCGUAAAUGGUGUUUUAUGGGUCAUCGUCGUUUCCUUAACCAGAGACAUAGGUUUAGAUUGAAUAGGAUCCAUUUUAAUGGUGAACAAGAAAUACGGAGUCCACCGAGAACAUUAUCUGGACAUCAAAUUUUUGAACAGGUUAAAGAGGUUAAAGUUGUCUUUGGUAAAAAUCCAGUGAAAGAAAAAUCGGUAAAAAGAAAACAUGAGGGACAACCUGUAGAAGGUGAUAGUACACAAUGUGAUCCUACACAAGGUCAUCCUCAACAAUGGAAAAAGAAAAGCAUAUUUUUUGAGCUUCCGUGUUGGAAGGAUAAUCUUCUGCGCCAUAAUCUUGAUCCGAUGCAUAUUGAGAAAAUGUAUGCGAUAAUGUCAUAUUUACUUUACUAAAUGAUAGGCAAAAGAGUAAAGACCAUUUUAAAGCUCGAGAAGAUCUUCAAAAUAUGGGCAUAAGAUCUAAUCUUUGGCCUGAUGAAAAUGGUAUAAUUUCUCCUGCGGCCUUUAGUCUAACGGGUAAAGACAAAAGGAUUUUUUUAACAAUUUAAAAGAAUAUUAGGGUGCCUGAUGGUUAUUCAAGCAACAUAUCUAGAUGCAUUGACUUGGUAAAUCUCAAGGUGAAUGGAAUGAUGAAGAGUCAUGAUUGUCAUAUAUUAAUGGAACAACUUCUACCAUUAGCCAUUCGCACAACAUUACCUCAUGAGAUUUCAGCAGUAUUGAUUGAGUUGUGCUCAUUCUUUAGACAACUAUGUGGUAAGGCAUUGAAAAUUGAAGACUUGGAAAAAAUGCAAAACCAAAUUGUCCUCACUUUAUGCCACAUGGAAAUGUUAUUUCCUCCCUCGUUCUUCACUGUUAUGGUUCACUUGGUUGUUCACCUUGUUGAAGAGGUUAAGCUUGGAGGUCCUGUUCAUUAUCGGUGGAUGUAUCCUGUUGAAAGGUAAACUAUGUGAAUUUGUUGUAAUGAUAUUAACUUAGAAAGUAAAGUAAAAAAAUUAACUAAUACAAUUUUGGUUCAAUAAUAGGUACUUGGGAAAACUUAAAUCGCAUGUGCGUAAUAAGGCAAAACCAGAAGGGUCUAUUGCAGAAGGAUACCGUUUUGAAGAGAUUCUUACAUUUUGUUCAAGAUAUAUAGAAAACAUUGAGACUAGAUGGAAUCAACCUGGACGUGUAGAUGAUGAACCUAUUGGUGAUAUCCAAACAGGUUCACGUGUAACCGAAUUAUUUCCUAGAGUCGGAAAACAUGUGGGUGGAUCUUCAUAUUACACCCUAACACCAAUUGAAAAGUUGCAGGCUCAUAGACACGUUUUAACGAAUUGUCCAAUAGUUGAUGACUAUCUAAAGUAAGUAGUUUUAUUCCAUUUAAGUUGUUUCAUCUACACUAUUAAGAUUUCUUUUUACAUCUAAUAUCGAAUAACCAAAUAGGCAGUUCCGAAGUAUUACUCAGAACCAAAUGAGACGCGGUCAAAGAAGUGCUUCUGAGAUAGACAAGAAGGUUCAUAGAGAGUUUGCUCAUUGGUUCCGCAAUUGUGUGAGUUUUCGUACAAAAAUAGAUGUUUGUAUUGAAUUAGUUUUUAAUAACAAGACUAAUUGGAUGUUGUAUCGUGUAUAGAUUUGCAACAAUCUUGACAACAUUGAUGGACCAGAUAAAGAUGUCCUCAUUAGUCUUGCUCAUGGCCCUUAUGAUAAAGUUAAAAGGUUUACCGCAUUCAAUGUCAAUGGGUUCAAGUUUCGAACGUUGGAACGAGACAAUCUUUUAAAAACUCAAAAUAGUGGAGUUUUUGGCAUGUUUGGGACACGAAGUUAUUCAAGCAAUAGUGAUACCCAAAUGAGAUUUGGAGGGGUGCCUUAUUAUGGAAGAUUGAUAGACAUUAUUGUGCUUUCCUAUGAUGGCUUCAUAGUGCCCAUGUUUAAAUGUGAAUGGGCUAAUACCAUAAAUCCAAGAGGCAUUAAGAUAGAUAAGUUGGGUUUUACCUCUAUAAACUUUGCAAGACUACUCCAUACUGAGGAACAUGAAGAUAAUGAGCCAUACAUUCAAGCGUCAGAAGCUCAUAUGGUUUUUUAUGUGGAUGAUGAGAAUGAACAAGGAUGGAGCAUACCUGUUCAUUUGAAGCCAAGAGAGUUGUAUGACAUGGGUGG